rnacentral:rRNA from 1 species
GACGAACGCUGGCGGCGUGCCUAAUACAUGCAAGUUGAGCGCUGAAGGUUGGUACUUGUACCAACUGGAUGAGCAGCGAACGGGUGAGUAACGCGUGGGGAAUCUGCCUUUGAGCGGGGGACAACAUUUGGAAACGAAUGCUAAUACCGCAUAAAAACUUUAAACACAAGUUUUAAGUUUGAAAGAUGCAAUUGCAUCACUCAAAGAUGAUCCCGCGUUGUAUUAGCUAGUCGGUGAGGUAAAGGCUCACCAAGGCGAUGAUACAUAGCCGACCUGAGAGGGUGAUCGGCCACAUUGGGACUGAGACACGGCCCAAACUCCUACGGGAGGCAGCAGUAGGGAAUCUUCGGCAAUGGACGAAAGUCUGACCGAGCAACGCCGCGUGAGUGAAGAAGGUUUUCGGAUCGUAAAACUCUGUUGGUGGAGAAGAACGUUGGUGAGAGUGGAAAGCUCAUCAAGUGACGGUAACUACCCAGAAAGGGACGGCUAACUACGUG